ACGCACAUGGUUAUAUCGGCAAAUAUUUUGGCACGGUAGGUCUCUGCAUAAUGUCAAACUUAUUAACCUUAUUCGGUCUUCUUUUUUUCAGGUAAAAGUUUCAGUAGAAAGAGAAAGCUUCCCAGAGCUAGUGAUUGUGAAAGUUAAAUCGUGCGACGCUCUUAAAAUUGAAUGGGUGGCCAAGUUUUAUGGUGCUUAUUCAAAUAUGGACCCCACUCUAUGUCCUUUACCUCCGGGUGACGUUAUUUUAAAUAAUAUGGAAUUUCCUCCAAAAAAUAUGCCGCAAUACGUGUAUUCUCUCAUAAAGGGGAAAUUUAAAACGCAGGUGCUUAUGAUGGCCUCAAAAACGGAAGAAAUCAUUUUAAAAGCCAGUAUCGUUUUAUACAGUAAAUAGAGAUGCUUUAUAA